rnacentral:rRNA from 1 species
GAUGAACGCUGGCGGCGUGCUUAACACAUGCAAGUCGAACGAUGAAGCCCAGCUUGCUGGGUGGAUUAGUGCGAACGGGUGAGUAAAACGUGAGUAACCUGACCUUAACCCUGGGAUAAGACUGGGAAACUGGGUCUAAUACCGGAUAGGAGCGUCCACCGCACGGUGGGUGUUGGUAAGAUUUAUCGGUUUUGGAUGGACUCGCGGCCUAUCAGCUUGUUGGUGAGGUAAUGGCUCACCAAGGCGACGACGGGUAGCCCGCCUGAGAGGGUGACCGGCCACACUGGGACUGAGACACGGCCCAGACUCCUACGGGAGGCAGCAGUGGGGAAUAUUGCACAAUGGGCGCAAGCCUGAUGCAGCGACGCCGCGUGAGGGAUGACGGCCUUCGGGUUGUAAACCUCUUUCAGUAGGGAAGAAGCGAAAGUGACGGUACCUUCAGAAGAAGCCCCGGCUAACUACGUG